rnacentral:rRNA from 1 species
AACGAACGCUGGCGGCAGGCCUAACACAUGCAAGUCGAGCGCACUUAUUUCCUUCGGGUUAUAGGCGAGCGGCGGACGGGUUAGUAACGCGUGGGAACGUACCCUUUACUACGGAAUAGCCUUUGGAAACGAAGAGUAAUACCGUAUACGCCCUUUGGGGGAAAGAUUUAUCGGUAAAGGAUCGGCCCGCGUUAGAUUAGAUAGUUGGUGGGGUAAUGGCCUACCAAGUCUACGAUCUAUAGCUGGUUUGAGAGGAUGAUCAGCAACACUGGGACUGAGACACGGCCCAGACUCCUACGGGAGGCAGCAGUGGGGAAUCUUAGACAAUGGGCGAAAGCCUGAUCUAGCCAUGCCGCGUGAGUGAAGAAGGCCCUAGGGUCGUAAAACUCUUUCGCCAGAGAUGAUAAUGACAGUAUCGUGGUAAAGAAACCCCGCUAACU